ACAAGUAUCAUGAAGUAUAAAGGUAAGAUGAAAAUAUAAAGAAUCGUUCAGGUUGCAGAAAGAGUAAAAUCUAUCUAUCUCUUUUGGAAGUUAAAGGUCUUGAUUGCAACAGCAAAAAUGAAAGCAAAGAGAACCGCGAUGCAAGGUACCACAAUAGCAGCAACUCCAAUGAAGUCAUGUUCGAUACCAUAACUGUCUUCUAUGUAAGCUUUCACAGUCUUGUUACUUUCAGACGUCAUUCGUUCCAUUACAUCUCCAAACUGAGAUCCAAUCAAUCCAUAUAAGGUCCAAGCCACUGGGCAUGCCCAAUAGUACCAUCUCCACCAUAUUGGGAUGUUCUGUUCAAAAUACAAAAUAACAACAUUAUUAUUAUAAUGAUAGUAUCCUAGUAUGUGAUACCAUGUUAAGAAAUGAAUUUAAUUCUAACUCAACCUCAUAAAAUCGGCUUACGAGGAGAAGUUUGUACCUACUUAUAAACUAUGAAAUUACUUAUAAACUAUGAAAUGCUCUAAUCUCUAGUAUAUGUGGGAUCUCCAACACAACCCCUCACGCCAAGAGUGACCACUCGUGCGUGGGACAAUAUAUUUAUGAGUGGUCCGAUAACGGUCCGAUAGCGGGUGGCACGAUAGGCCCAAUAAAAUAAACUAUCGCUAUGAUAGACUUUAAAUGACUCUGAUAUCAUGUUAAAGGAAAGAAAUAAUAAGGUAAAUCCCUUGUGUAUAUUGAAUACGUAUAAUUAUGUUUAUAUAGAAAAAAAAACAUAUGCGCUAACCACGUUACAUAAAUAGAAAUAUCUAACAAUAUCUAUAAUAUCAUACCAUUGCAAACCAUAAAACAUAUGAUUCACUCUAUGUGCAUGCAUUUUGUCAGUGUAUUAUUAAUUCAAAAGCAGGGUGGCAACAAGCAACUUACAGGUCUUGCAACAACAAAUCCUGAGAAGAGAUUCCAAACUGCAUAAAAUGCAGCAGCCACGAUGGAAGCAACAUGGUGGUUUGGUGUCACUCCCACAGCCAUCAUGCCAUAGAAGGUGAAGUACAACAGUGUGAAGUACAUGAAAAAUAGAUACCAAAAGAAUUUUUCUGCAGUCCACUCAAAUCCGAUCAUGGCAUAAACUAUUACACCGUAUGUCACCGCUUGAGUAAAGAUAUAGGGUAUCUCCACCAGAAUCUGUGACAACAAACACCCAGUUUGUUUGUUAACAUAAUCCAUGUAUUCAAACUAAAGUACUAGUCAUGUUUGUUAAGAAAAUAAUGAUGUUAGUUACCUGUGAAAAUGCAUAGGGUAAGGCAGAAUACAUUCUGGCAGCUUUUUCUCUGUAAAAGACAGUUCUUUCAACUGCAACCACAGGCUGUACCGAGGAAGAGUUUUGUACUCCAAGGAAGAGGACAGCACUGUACAUUGAACCUAUAGCAUUCAUCAGGUCUCCUCUGGUCGAACUGUAAAAACCACCACAAGGAAUCAGAACUCUGGUGGAAUUUCCAAGAUGUGACAAAAUAUACAAUAUGCAUUGUUUUAUGAGUCAUGAUGAGAAUUUACUUUAAACUUCAUUAAUACUUUUCUUACCGUUUUGUUCCGAGGUCCCAGAACAUUGUUCCAAACAUCAGGGCUAUGAAAGUAGUGAAGAAAAACCUCACAGAAGUGUAUGGUGGAUUACGCCAAUAUGACAAACGUUGUUUCCAUAAGCAAGCUUGGCAUUGGACCAAGAUGUUCUGAGAGUAUUGAGUAGGGAAAUAAAGAUCCUUUGAACCUGGAGCAGGCUGACUCAACUCUUGUAUAAGCUGCUUGUUUCUCCUGAAAAGCCAUGAAAAAACUCACUUAAGCAUUAUGAAAAUCAAGAAAACAAACAAGACUUAGUAAAUAUUCCUAUCCACUUGCGUUGGCCUACCUAUAUAGAUCAGAGUUCCUGUAUAAGUCAGUGAAAUCAACGCCCAAACUAAGCUCUUGAGCUGUGGUUGUAACUUCCAACAUCCAAGUAGCCGGGUUAUAUCCGUCUUUGAUUUUGCUCACCCCGUCAAUGCUCUGCACAGUGGAAAUCAUUGCAAAAAUUUAGUAUUUAGUGUGAAGAAUCAUGCUCCUUCACUUGAUAAUUAAACUAUGAUGUUACCUCAAAAUACUUGAUCAGAUGACUAGAAUGACGACCCAGUGGCCCCACAUAUAUUUCCUGUCCUCCACGCUUCAUUAGGAAUAGCUAAAAUCACAAAAAAAAAAAUCACGUUAGGAUUUAAGAUUUAGAGUUUAAGGAAAAGACGUCUUCAUUUGUCAUUUUUGGCACUCACCUCAUCAAAUGCCUCAAAUAUGUCAAUGCUGGGCUGAUGGAUGGUGCACACCACAGUUCUUCCAGUGUCCACAGUGUUUCUGACUGUUCUCAUAACAAUAGCAGCAGCUCUUGCAUCUAGCCCAGAAGUAGGCUCAUCCAUGAAGAUUAUGGAAGGAUUAGCCACCAAUUCAACCGCAAUAGUAAGCCUCUUCCUCUGUUCAGUAGAGAGUCCACUCACACCGGGCAAUCCAACCAGCGAGUUCCUUAAUGGGUUAAGCUCCACCAAUUCCAUGACUUCCUCAAUGAACAUCUGCAACCAUUUGUCAAAUCCAAAAAGUUCCAACAAUCAGCCUCUAAGAAGAAAAAACCAGCUAUCUCGAUUUAUUUAUAAUGUUAGACAUUAUUAUCCAACAUGUAAAUCGUUUUUACUUUUCUGAGUCCUUACUAACCUUUCUGGCUUUGGAAUCAACACUUGAAGGUAAACGUAGCCAUGCUGAGUAGACCAAGGAUUCGUAAACUGUAACAUGAGGUGAAUGGAUAUCAUUUUGCUCACAGUAUCCAGAGAUACGAGCAAAUGUUUCUUGCUUCUUAGGGUACCCAGAAAUUUUGAUGUUUCCAUCAAUAUAUCCACCGGUUUUCCUACCAGCCAGAACAUCCAUCAACGUAGUCUUACCAGCACCACUUACACCCAUCAAAGCUGUGAGAACACCAGGCCUGAAUGCACCACUAACACCCUUCAAAAGAACCAGUCUGUCCUCUUGUAAACCUUGUUCCUUCAUUUCCUGCAAGUGGAAAUCAAGGAAGUUAGAAAUCUAAUUUUUUUCUGGCUGAAGUGUUAAAAUAGAGACCCUGUUCAAAGGCUAAACUUAUAAAAAUGAAAUAUGAUUUACCUGUGGCAUGUCAACAGAGUAUACUACUUCAUCAAAGGUGAUGGAAUGUGGUUCAAAAGGAAGAACCAUUCCUUUUUUCUUUCCAUGACCGGACUCCACAACAGAACCACCUCUUCCUGAACUUUCUGCAAGACAUUUGAAAUAUAACUAUUCAGCGACUUGAGUUAUAAUUCGAAUUCCUGUCAAUCUACCAGUAUGAUUACCAAUGAGUAUUCUUGAGUGAUUAAGAAAAAUAGCUCACCUCUGCGUGGUAAUUCAACUUCUGCAACGGUUCCUUCAUUUGGUGUAUUUGCUUCUGGUGUUUCUUCAGCUAUUGAUGCUUGUGGUUUAUCAAAUGCUGCAAAUUCAGUUGCAUUCUUUUUAGUAAAAUCUUUCAUUUCCAAAAGAAUUUGAGAAUACAAAUGAUAUGAAAAGUACUCACGGUCAAGGAAUUCAAGAGCAAAACUAAACAUCCCGUUCAAAACGAACACAAAUCCAAUCAGUCCCCCAAGGCCUAUCCAAUACCAAUAUGAAUCUUUGAAGAAUGCACGAGAGUCCAGAUAAUCAAGUCCUAAAUUGUAGGUAGCCUGUAAUUAGAGAGAAAAGAACUUAGAAUCGCUCCUUUCUUAACAAAAGUAUACAAUUGUGAAGUUAUUAGUUCAAGAGUCAGCCUAGCUGAGAUCUGAGAUGUCAAGUUACAUAGUGAUGCCAUAAACUCUUUUAUAAAAGAAAAGUUAUUAGUUCAAGAAAUUACGUUGUGCCAAUUGUUUCCGAGAAAUUCAUUGAUCAUCAAAGCAUUCUGCCCAUACAUCAAAGGUGAAAUCCAGAAACCCCAAAUCCACCAGCUUUUGAUAUCCCCUGUUUCAUUGGCAAUGAAAUCCAGAAGCAACGGCUUAGCUUUUCCUAUUAUGAUAGAAAUGCAUCAAUUUUUCAGUCAAGUGUUUGUGUGAUGAACUUACUUUUUGACAGAAGGAAACCACCCAAUGAAAGAAGCGUGAGAACUGCAAAGGAUCCAAAUGUGUUGGCGACAAUCAUGUUUCUACCAAGUGCUGCAAUAGCUCGGAAUAAUCCAGAAGCCAUCUGACUAACAAAAAAUAGAAUGAGGUACUGCUUGAAGAACCUGCACAAAAUUCAAGAACUCACAUUAUAAGAUAAACUAGAAAUAGCAAUAUUCAAGUGCUUCAAACUGAUGAAAGAAGUUUCUGUACCUCCCAACAUUUGGAUCAAAUCCAAUAACGUAGUAGGUCAGGAACACCCAAAGAGCAACCUCCACUAUUGUAAUAGGAAUCUUGAGAAUCCACGAAGGAAUAGCAUAUGCCCAAGAGGGGAAAAAUAGAAGAUCUCGUUGCUUGUAGAAAACAGGAAGCUUAGCAAUGGUCAUGGAAAUCUCAGCCAUUCCAUUAAACAUAAUCAUUAUUAUUGUGAAAAAUAUAGCGCCACCAUAAACACCCGCAUCAUCCAUAUUAUCACGAGGCAUUUCCGUUCGGAAAAACAGUGUCAAUGCAAUUAACGCCAUGACGCUAAGCUGAAAAGCAUCAAGAGCAAAACGGUAAGGAAAAAAGAUCAUCAUAAAUGAACUAUGGUGUACAAUAAACAGAUAAAAAAAAUUGAGUAAAAUUGAAUAAUGACACCUAGAAUUUAAAAAAAACAAGGUUGAAGUCUAGAAUAGAACCAACCUGACAAAGUUUGAAGAUAUAAACAAAUGAAUUCCUUUUCAUAAGCAAAUACUCCCUUGAGAAGUUAGCCUUUAACAGCUCCUUCUUGUUGAUGCCAUACUGCUUAGUGGUCAAUGCAGCAGGGUGAUUCUUACUCCUGUCAAAUGGAACAGCAAUGUCCUCCACAAUUUUCCUACCAAUAUGGAAUGAUUGAAAUGCCUCAGCAAAUUGAGUAACUGUCACAAAUCUGUAUGGUUGAUCUCUGCGAACCCAGUACUGUGCUUGAUCUUUUUUGGAAGUCACUUCUUGAAGGAAGUCAGCAGUACCUUUCCUCUCGGGGCAUUUGAAACCCAUGGAUUCAAAGAAGUCCAGAACAUAUUCACGAGGGCCAUGGUAAACCACUUGGCCGUCUGAGAUUAAGAUAAUGUCGUCGAAAAGAUCAUAAGUCUCAGGUGCUGGCUGGAGCAAAGAUAUAACAGCAGUUCCAUCUAGAAUGUGGACAUAUUGCCUGAGACAGGUCACAAUCUGAAAUGUGGUGGAACUGUCCAACCCAGUGGAGAUUUCAUCCAUGAAUAAAGCAUUUGCUGGUCCAACCAACAUCUCUCCUGUAGUGACACGCUUCCUCUGUCCUCCAGAGAUCCCACGCAACAUUUCAUCGCCCACCAUAGUAUCAGCACAUAUAUCCAACCCCAGAAUCUGGCAAGUUACACAGUCAACUAGUUCAAUAUCUUGGUUGGUCAUCAUAGCAAACACUAGCACAUGUCAUCACAUAAUUGAAUUGAACCUUGUUUGUUUAAGCAUACCUUCAUUGUAUAAUCUGUCACUAUGCUUGACUCCUGGCCUGCAGUUGCAGUUGCCUGUUAUAUCAAAAGAUGAUCAGAUGCAAUGCAAAGAUGGUAUAUAUAUACUUUCUUGUUUUGGUUUUGUAAUUUGCUGACCUUCAUGUAGACAUCAAGAUCUGGGUCAGGCUUGAUAUUUGCUGCUUUCUCUCUUCUAGACAACUCAGAUAGCAUGUCUGAGGAUUCAGAAAAAGUAAAUGAUGAUCGGUUAGAGUGCAUAGAUGUUAAAUUAGAGUUUGAAAAGGUAAGAGAGGAUUGGUAAAGGGGAACUGACCAUAACGUGAUCCAACCCCUUGGCACCUUGCUGAGAAAGCCAAGGUUUCCCUCACAGUCAUUUCUCCAAUAUGAACAUCAUGCUGGCUGAUGUAAGCAGCGGUUCUCUGGGGUACAAACUCGUUCAGUUCAUGCCCAUUGUAAGUCACUUUUCCAGAUACCUGAAUGACAAACACAUCGGUAUUCUUGUUAGUUUUUCUUUCUACUUUCAUUUUCAAAGAAAAAAUAGUAAUAAUAGAUAUUGUAGAGAAUUGUGUUUGACCUGAAGACUUUUAUCAAGUUUUCCUGACAAGGCCAAGAGGAGUGUGGUCUUUCCUGAACUUGGAGGACCCAAAAGCAGUGUCAUCCUGCGAGGUUUAAUAAUCCCGCUCACAUCUUUAAGAAUGGUAACAUGUUUCUUUUUGCUUGGGAUGAUAUGGAGUAUGUUAAAAAGUCCCUGCAAGACCAAGUACCAUGAUGAGACUAAUUGCAAAACAAAAUAAAUCAAAGAAACCAAGCUUAUAUGAACUAGAAUCAGCCCUUCUCUACCUCUAUGACAUUAGUAACAGAGUUGAUGAAGGAAGGCAAAGCUCUACUUCCCUCAAAGGCCUCUGCGUCAAUAUUCAAGUGCUCAUAUCGAACUUCGAUGGUUGGAAUAUCAAGCCCAACUCUAUAUGAAACAACAAGCCAAACGAAAACUUAAAAAGAUGAAAAAUUUUAUAAAUACUUUUGAAUCAACUGUAAAAAAAACUAAACUCACAUAUAAAUCUUUAUUUUCAAUUUAUAUAAUUAAUAAUUAUAUAAUAUAUAAAUUCAAGAUUAUACCGUCUAUGUUUGUUGUGUAGUACAGUGUACGUGUCAGGAUCAGGGGUGCAUACUAUACGGAAGAAGAGGUUGUGAAGAAGAGGAAAUAUACCUGUCAAUACGCUCCCUGAGCUUCAACAAGAACCUCUCGUUGUCCUCUUCGGCCACUUUAACUAGCCUCUCAAGAAGCUUUUGUUUCUGCUGGAAGCCGAGAUCAGAAACAUCGAUUUCGUUGGCAACUCCAUGGGAUGCUGUGAGCAAGCCUUUCCUGAGACGGUUGUAGGUGGGGAGCUUCUCAAGAGCAGCCCAUUUGAGAGCUUCUUCGUCGUCCUCUUCACGAGAAGACCUUGAAAAUGCCUCCACACCACUGUUCCUCCAAACUGUUGAACUUCUCGCUCGCAUACUGUUACUCGCUCUGUAAAUAUCUCCGUCCAUGUUUCACUCUGUCCCUUGUGUUCCUCUUUUUCUUCUUGAAGGAAGGAAAAGCUUAUAUAGCAAAACCAACCAACGCACCGCUCUUAAUGAAAGAGAAUGCAACAAAAAUGAAGGAGCAUUUGGUUUUCUCUUCCUUACAAACAUGUCUCUAUUUAUACCUUGCAUGUCAAAAACAGGCGGCGCUUGAAGAGUCCAACGUCAAUAUUCAGUUUUUGUUUUUGUUUAUACUAAAAAAAACCAGAAAGAAAGAAAAAUUGAAUAAACCGUUGUCUUUAUUUUUUCGCAGUUAUGGCGGCAGAAAAACAAAUAUUAAUAUAAAGGUAAAAACAAAUAAUAUAAUAAAUUUUUGUUCUAAAAAUAAUUAAUAAUAAUAACAAAUUGUUAGCUGGAAAACACAAGAUGCAGAAAAAUUAUUUCAAAGUCUGAAAGGAAAGUUCCAAUCUCCCCGUAAAGAAGAGGACAUUCCAUACGUUUCAUUUGUUCAUACACCAAAUAAAGAUGUGUAACUGUGUCAAAGUCAAUAUUAGAAUAAUUAUAAGAAAUUUACAAUGAAGAAAUAAUCUUAGUACAAUACUAGAAUGUGUGAUAAAACCCAACAUUCAUAUAACAGUUAACGUCUUAAUUUAAUAUUGGACUAAAAUCACUAAUUUUAAAAGAUUGAGAACUGAGUAUUUCUAUUCAAAAAUAAGAAAAAUAAAUUCAAAAAAUUACAAAGUAUCAUUAUUAUUAUUUCUAUUAUCACAAUCAAUAAUUAAUGAAUAAAUAUUUUAGUUCUUGAUCGUGGUAUUUAUCUUACAGCUUAUUAGCAACAAGAUCACAAGAAAAACAAUAUUUUAAUUGAAUUUAAAGAAAAUAAAUGGUAGAAAUUUGAAAUUUCUGGUGUAUUAAUUUUGUAAUUCGUCCUUCGAGGAACAUUAAUUGUGAAGUAGAAUAAUCAAAAGGUUGACAUUUUGACUUGUAGUUUGAGAAAAGGUAAGAAAAGUUAAGUUCGUGUGUAGAAAGCUUUGGAUAAUUCAACUUCUAGAUACAUUAAAACAGACUCUGUUGAUUAUUUCUCCUUUUCAUUUUUGACACGGAAUCUAACAAUAAGUGUGUCUCAUUUAUUUAAAUAUUCAAAUAUAUAUUCUCUAUAAUUUUACUCUCAUUUUUAUUUUACAACUUAGUAAUAUCAUACGUCACUAACAAUUAUUAGGUAAAAAAUUACGUCAUCUAAAGUUUAAUAUCCUGAAGGGACCAUCAAUAUUCUAUCACAAAUCUUCAAUUGUUUCUAUCAUUUUCAUGUUCAUAUAUGAUUAUUUUGGUUCUUAUGUUAGCUCUCCAAAUUUUCUGUCUUAAUAAGAUGUUUGACCUAAGUUUUUUUUUGUCUACAGACAAUUUUCAAAAGAUUAUUUUUUAAAAUAUUUUUUCUUUUAUUUUGACUUUUUUAUGACUUUCUAGAACCAAUCUCGUCCUUUUAUUUCUCAUUAGAUAUGAGAUAGGGCAUAGUGACGAUCAAUUCUAGCCAGUCAUAAUUAUUUUAGAAUAUGUUCUUUUAUACUCUAUAAACUUUAUUCUAUUCUUAGGUUUUUCUAAUGUUUUGGGUUUUCAAAGGUUUAUAGUUGAGAGAUUAAUGUUUAAUCAAGUUUAAUUUAUAAUGCUUUGAAUAUAUUUUUUUUUUCUAAACCUUAAACCUUAAAUUAUAAAUUCUAAAUUAAGAAUAAACUAAGAAUGUAAUUUGUCUUUUUCUUUCUUAUAUACAUUCUAACAUAUAUAUUAAAAUCUUCACCAUGUACUUGAUUCUAUUAUUGACCUAAUUCAAUAAUAAAUGAAAUCUUUUUUUGGGAAAUUUACAAACGAACAAUUUCAACGAAAUCUUUCAAUUUCUUAUUUUACUAUGUUCAACUCUAUGUAUUCCUCUAUCCGUAGAGUACAUUGAAUGUACAGAAAUGGCUAUCACAGAGUUUCUCUUAUUCAUAUUAACAACUACUCUAGGUGGAAUGUUUUUAUGGUCGUUUAUUCAAUAUUUCAUGAUUUGUAUUAAUAUUGAUGUUUUUAAUCACGUACAUCGAUAAACAAUCGUUUAUCCGUAAUAUCAGACUUAGUCCAUGAUGUAACAAAAGAUAAACGAAAAACUUAGUUAAUUAAGUAUAAUUUAAUUAUUUUUAGUUGAAAUUAGAUGGAGUAGGUGGAUUAAUAUAUUACUGAGUUAUUUGUGUUUGGGAGUUUGGAACACUCAUUUUGACUAUAAUUUGUCUUUAACUAAAUGCAUAUUUGUAUUAGUUUGGGUCAUCACCUUCAUAGUUGAGGGUGUAGGGUUGAAAAGAAUGAAUAUAAAAUCACGAAACAUGUUUUUUUGUUAAAAUAUAAAAUCAUGAAACAUGUUUUUUUUUUUUUAUAGAAAAUGUCCUAGGAAGUUAAAGAUUCCAUAAGUUGGAAAUAUAUAUAUAUAUAUAUAGGGGUAGACAUUAAGUAAUUCUAAAUAUUGAUUACUCUCUCUUGAAUAAACUAUUAUUCAUCAAUAUAACAUAAUUAAUUAAUGUACUUUUAUCCAAAUCACAUCUAAGUUGAAAUUUAAUAUCCUUCAUUUGAAUCAGAAUCACCUUUUUUAAUUAAUUUCUUUGAUUAACUUUUGUAGGUUAAGAUAUUAGUUGAGUUUCACAAUGAUGACCAAACUUUCUUAAACUUGAUUUACACUAGACAUAAUUGAAUUGAUAUAAAUAAUAGUUAAAAAAAUACAUUAGAUGAGCAAAAGCCAUAAAUAUAAAUGAAGAAAAUUUGGGUGCCGAUACUUAUAAAGAAAAUGAGACUCACAAAUAUUAUAAUACUUUUAUUAUCUAAAUCUAAAUAAUGUCUACUUAACCUAUCUCCAUAAUAUUUUUUGUUUAAAAAACUUAACAUGUGUGACAACAAUUUAUAUUUACAAAAGAAUUUAAAAACAUAAUAUUUAUUAAGUUGACGCUAAAUUUUCUUUUCAUAUAUAAAAACAAUUUAUUAAAAAAUGUAAUGUAGACUUCAUUAAUAUAAAUAUUUUACUAAUUUUUUAGAAUUGACUUUAAGUCUAUAAAAUGUUCUUAAUCAUCAACACUAAUUUAAAGAAAAUUAAAAGUAAAUAAACUUAAAAGUUAAUUUAAUCGAUUUUACUAGUAGAAAACAAACCCUAAUACUUGAUUGUGUAGUAAAUUUUAGAAAUUGCAGAAAAUCGUAUUUGGGUUCUUCAGAGUUGAAACUUGAUCCAUCCUUUCAUAUCAAUCUCAAUUUUCUUAUGAGAAAAAAGCAUCGAAAAAGGAAUCAAACUCAUGCUAAGUAAGAAACGUGUCAAUAUAUUACCGUAAGAAUUGAAAUUCAACAACUAGAACUUCUAACAUUUAUAAUAAAUUCAAAUCACGUGGUUUGACCUUAAAAAUGUUCUAUUCCACAAUUAUAGCACAACUUCAGACAUGAAAGCCCUUCCCAACCACCCAGAUCAUGGCUACUUCAUUUCAGUAUAUUAUGGAUUAAAAUAUUGAAAUAUUUUAUGUAUAUCACUCACAUAAAUAUUAUAAUAUAAUAUUCAUAAUAUAAUUUAUGUAAAAAAUUAUUUGUUACGUAAAAGAAAAAGUAAAAAUUCAUCUUAAUAUUUUUCUUACUGUAUACACUCUUACUACAUACACACAAUUACUUGAAUGUGAUCAUGCCUUAAUUUGUGUUGUAUUUAUGGUUAGAACUAAUAUUUAUUGGAUAUGUUUUGUAAUAGGUGUAACACUUGUCUUAACUAUUAUGGGUGGAAAAAUCAAGUUUAGGAUUUUUCACAUUUUUUCAUGAAGGGAAUGCAUAUAUUGAUAAGUUUGCUAACUUAAACUUUAUUCAUAAAGAGUAUUUUUAUUGGUAUAAUAAGCUUCCAUAUAAUAUUUUUUUAGGGUUUUUUAUUAAUAGGUACAAAGUACCUAUGUACCAUUUUUGUUAAUAUAUGGAUUUUGAUAUAAUCCUCUAUAUUUUCUUGUAUUUUCUUUUUAAUAAUACUUUUUUUCAUGUGGUGACAAAUAAUUAUUGUUAUUUGAAAUGUCAGCCUAAUUGAAAUGUCAAGUUUCAUAGUGAUGUUUAAUAUGCAAACUUAUAAAAACAAAAAAUAUAUUUAAUUCAAUAAAAAGUAGACACACAAAGUAGAUUAAUCAUUCUACUAAUUUUACACAUGAUAACUUUCCACGUAUAGAACAAUUGAUAUGAUUAACUUUCAUAAUCACUAAUGCAAAAAAUACUUGUUAUGACGGUUAAAACAUAUAUUUUUAUGUCAAUCUUAAAUUCAUCAUAAAUGUAUGAGACAUAGAAAGUCUGUAUCUUCUAUGACGGUUGUGUAAUUGUCAUAGAAAUUUAUUUUUCAUGUCCUACCUAAAAGAGCCAUCACUUUCCAUGACUGAUUUGUCUUUAACCAUCAUAAAAAAUAACACAUUUUAUCAUGGUUAAAUUUAUACCCAUCAUAAAAAAUAUUACUUUCUAUGACACAUUGUUUUAACCAUUAUAAAAUAUGUUACUUUCUAUAACAAAUAAUAUUUUAAUCGUCAUAAAAUGUGUUACUUUUUAUGACGGUUAAGGACAAAUUAAUUAUAGAAAAUAAUAUUUUGUAUGAUGGUUUAGCAAUAAUUUUUAUAGAAAGUGUAUUUUUUUUCUUUUGUAAUAUAUUCAUUUUUCUAUUUGCAUAAUAUAUCCUACAUAAUAAGUAGGAUUCUCAAACAAAUAUUUUCAAAAUAAAAUCUUAACAAUCUAGCACACAAAUAAUUAUAAAUUUUACUGAAAAUUAAUAUGUUCAUACAAAAUUGUUAACUAGUUAUACUAUGAUCAUUUACAGUAAAUAUUUAAAACAAAUAAUGUCCACCGCUUUCAAACCUCUUGUAACAAUUUCUCCUUCAACAGAUAUGGAUCAUAGAUCACUAAAUAUCUACACAAUCAAAUAUUAAAGAUGAAAUUAACAUUAAACACAAUUAAUUGUAUAUUACUUCCUUAAUAUUAUUUUAUGCAUAUAUUUCUUAUCACAUAAUACCUACACUUAUAAUACAUGUUAAAUACAGAUAUUAUAAUAUUAAUUGAUAAUUGUAUUUUACUAGUAGUCAGAUGAAUAACUUACAUUUGGUGCAGCUUUUUUCUCGUAACAUGUGGAAGCCCUUUGCAACCUUAAAUGAAAUAUUCAACAAACCAAUUUCAGCCUAGAUUUUGUCUUGGCAAUAAUGUGGUGAACAAAUCAUAAAUGUUAGAGAAGAAAUGAAAUAUACAGGAGGAGAAACAUACCUCUAUUGCUUUUAGAGUUAAGUGGAAAAUAUCAACAGGUAUCUUGUGAUCCCGGAGCCUUGCUAAACAAAGAAAUAUCUUUGCAUAAGCAAGCUGCAAAUGGGCCUUAUCAACUAAGCUACAAGAGGGCAUAAAUGAGUGCAGUGACAUCUAAAUCACAUAACCAUUUGAAAUGAAAAAGAAAAAAACUGGAAAUUCUCAGAUAAAUUAAUGAAAAAAAUUAACUCUUUGAAACUGAUAUACCUGAAUAGUUCAUUUGUACAAAUUAAAAAAAGUAGUUACUCUUUAUUAUUUGUUAUUGUGAAAAUUAUAUAAACAGAUUUUUUAAUUUAUAUUGAAUCAAAUAAAUUAUCUAUUUACUUUGGUAGUUAUUAAAUUUACAUGAAAAUAAAUCUAUCUGACUACGAGUCUAAAAUUGUAUUUAAGAAGAUUAAGUCUAAUAUCACUCAAAUUUUGAUUAUAUAACCAUACCUGAGUUUAAUAGACAUGAAUUUCUAGGGUAAAAAUAUUUAUACUAUUAAUAUAAUUUUAAAAAAUUAUUAAAAAGUUAAUAAAUAGAAAGUGAAAUGUUAAUAUUGCAUUGUUAAAGUCAAAUAUGGGCUUUUAGUAUGAAACUUUUAUACCACAUUCAAUAGUUUAUUAUAUCUUAUAAUAAAUGUCCUUUUACUUUAUCUUUAGAUUUUUCAGCCCACUUAGAAUGGUUCUAGUAAUUUCCUUAGUUGGUUUGGGAUUAUUUGACAGAGGCAUCUUUGUGGUAUGACACUAAACCACAUGUUGCUAGUACUAAUACUAUUUUUCAGGAUAUCUUAAUCGUAAAAUUUAUUAGUAUUCUUCUUUACUCAUGAUUUAUCAUAUUGCUCUGUCCUGUCAAAAGCAGGGACUUGCGUUGAAAUUGGAAUUCCAAUGUUAAUCCUAUUUAUAACCUUCUCUCAGGUACAAAAGAGAUUUACUCAAGUUAUCUCUAAAAACAUUGCAGGUUUAGAGAUAGCAGGUGGAAAAUAGAGUAUUGGAUAUGUAAAGUACCCAAAAAAUCCCUUGUAACUAACCACUCAUAGCUAUGUGUUGUGUUCAGAAAAAAAAAAUAGAUAAGACAAAUACAUUUACUGAAGAGAUUUGCUCUACUCAUUUUCACAACAGUCAUAUGCGCAUCUAUUAACAGCAAGUAGAGGAUAUAAACAUCGCCCAUACUUAACCCAACAUAGUUGUAGGACAGACACCACCCAAAUUAAUUAUAGACUAAAUAAUAGAAGUUCUGGAGUAAGCAAUAGAAGUUAUUAAUAAAUAAAAAUUAAAAAAACAUAAAAAUUUACAUCAGUAUUAAAAUUUACUGACUUCAAUUUUUCAAUCUGUAACUUCUAUUACUCACUUUGUAAUAUUUGAUAUUCAAGCCUUUAAUUUCAAAAGGAUAAUACUGAGUCAAUUUCAGUGCCAACAAAAUAAGCUGUAAGGAACUCCCAUAUUUUUCUCGCCUACAAGAUCAAGCAUCUCAAUUCAAAGAAAUAAAUAGAGUAAGCAUUGAUUUUUGUGGUUUAUAAUGUUCGUCAAGCAGAGAGAAUGAGAAAGCACACUAAACUACACGUACCACAUCCCCGUUGUUUACAGCAUCCGUGCUUCAUCGUCAUUAUGAAAUGUCUCAAUGAUCCCUUCCCAAAAUUCCCUCUGCCUGCAGUUUUGAAAGCAUCCUGCAAUGAGUAAAAUAAUAACUUAACAAUAAAAAAAUGCACUUAGCCCCCUGAUUUCUCUUCUCUUAUUGAGCAAUAUCUAAGGGUACUUAAAAAAAACAGAAAAUAUAAUAUAUUGUUAAUCCUUAUACGUUCCACUCAUUUUAAAUUUGAUCCUGACAUGAUAUAAAUUGUUGUGCAUUGGAGGUAUAACACAAUCAAUACUAUGAACCAAGUAGAAAAUGUAGAGAUUACAAAUACCAUUAUAACAUUCGCUCUGACAACUCAAUCCCUGUGUAUUGUAUAUUUCAUUCUAACUCCAUACCAGUCUCACAAAAAAAACAGAAGCAAACAAGAACAACAUCGGAAAUUAUAAAUAUAGAAACUAAAUUGAGAGCUUUUUCAAAUUAGGAAAAACAAAAAGAAUAUCUUAUGUUUUAUUUUUCUAAAAAUUAUAAAAUCAAGUUCUCUACCGCAAUAAUUUUUCAAUCUUGAGCAAAACAUACAAGUAAAUACUAACAAAAGUCAUAAUAAUGGCUAACUACUAUUAACUGAUCGAGAAGGGUCGAAAUAACUAAAAUGUAAAAACAUUAAAAUUCAAAAAACAAGUUUCCUAGAUAGGAAUCAUCAUCUUCAAAAUCCAAGUCAUUUUCGAAUUCAUUUCGUUCGACUACUAUUAUAGCUGCAGAUUUAUUCCUCUUCCUCCUUUAGAACUUCAUAAAUUUCUAGUUAUUCUGCUGCAGGUGCAGCAGGUCACCUCGGUCUUGUUCACUUCCUAGUGUAUGUUGAAGUUUCAAAUCCAAAAAAAUAGCACCAAAAAUUCCCUACAGUGAGGGUUUCUUCGUAAUAUUAUGGAACGCCACGGCUUCGGCGCUAACACGCCGCCAAAAUGGUGCAGUUUAGACGCCGAGAAAGCAGAACCAGAAAACAAACAAGAUCUGAAGAAUUUCAGAGCAACACAGCAACGAAAUUAUACAUCUCGUUUCGGAUUCAAUGCAGUACACUAGGUUAAAGAAACAAGAUGUAACACUACAAAAUUGUGAACGAACAUUAUCAAAUUUGAAUCACAGAAAUGGUAGAAAGCAGUAUUACGAACAAAACGGUGAAAAUCAAUCUAAAACUUCAAACAUUGGGAAGUAGUUUACCUAUUGUAAAAAUUGGAAACGAUACACAGCAUUUGAAUUUUUGAAGCGAUGGAGAAGAAGAAGAAGAAGAAGAAAAGAUGAAGGAGAAGGGAAAAUUGGGCGCGUAAACAAUUUUUUUACUUUUUACCCUACAAAAUUCUUUUUUUAUUUUUUAUUUUUUACCUUACAAAAUUCUUUCGAAGUGGUCUGAUUCUAGAACCAAUAAAAAAAUUAAUCAGUUUUCUUAGUUUUAAAAAUUGAAAAAAAACGUGUCAUUUUUAAUAUACCCUUUUUAGUGUUCACUUAGGUCUCAAAAUAAAAAAAAAUAAAAAAACGUAAGGUUUCGUAAGUGAAAUUGAAGUCAUUAAUUUUAUAAAUUGCUUUAUAAUUUGAUUGUAAUAAAAUACUAUAUGCACGUAUUAAAAUUAACAAUAUUUUUUUGUUAAAUAUUUGACCACACAAAUUAGAUAUAAAGUGAUCACACUGUUUCAUUUUUUUAAAUUAAAAGAUUUAAUUAAAUACUUUAUUAACAAUAAGACCAAAUUGAAUAAAAUAAAUAAAUAUAUAAUAGGACUAAAAAAUAAUUAAAAUUAUUAUAUUUAAAAAAUAAUGAACACAAAUUUUAUAAAAAAAUAUAUUUAAUAUUCUCUCUCUCAUAUUAUAUAAAAUAUAUAUGGGAAAAAAAAAUACUAACAAGCAUGACAUAAGAAAAAAGUGGAGGUAGAAAGAGCAGUGACUACAAUAACAAGUUGUAGUACUAAGAUUUUUACUUCCUGCACCCAUACUUUUUAAAAUGACUAUUUUAUCAUUCUUUAAAAGCAAUUUCUCCAUGUACCAUAUCAAUAACAUACACCCAUUCUACUAUUGAAAAGGACAAAAAAAAUACUCUUUCUAAAUGAUAAAAAUAACCUUAUACAAAAGUAGAGUGUAAAUAAAAAUUAUUUCUAAAAUCUUUUAUCUGAAAAAUAUUUCGGAUUUCGAUAUCCAGAACACUUAAAUUCUGAAUUUUUUUUAUUCAAAAUGCAUUUUUAAUUUUGUGUUCUGAAUUAUUUUGUCAUUUUUUUACUUUUAAAUUUUAUUUACUAUUCCAGAUUUUCAAAUCCAAAAUAAGGAUAAUUUUUGGAACUUUAUAAAAAUAUAGAGUGUAGAUCAAAAUUGAUAUGGUACAGAAAGAAAUUGCCCUUUUUAAAUUGAUUUCUAGAUUAUCUGUUUCAGAAAUUUCUCUGGAACACAUUUUCCUACUAAAGUUUUUCUUUUGGUUGAAAUAUUUUAUCAUUAUUAGGAACAAAUAAUUUUCUUUACUUAGAAUAAUGAGAAACAUCACGAGAAGAGAGACUUUUAUUAUCUAACAUCUAUUUCUAGAAACAUGACCAAUUCAGAUGUUCCAUUCAUUUGGUCUACAGGAAUGGAAAAUUUUCAGAUAAAAACUAGCUUUCUGAGAUUGAGACAUAAUAGAAACAGUUUGAACAGAAAGAACAAAAAAUAUCUAAAAAUAUAACAUCUUUAAAACUUAAUUAAGUCAAAUUAGUUUGAAAUUGAAUUUGGGAAUGUAGUGAACAUCAGUAAAAUGAAACUAUUCUAAGAAAAAGAAUUGCUCAAGCCUAUUUGGAAAGAAAUCUAGAACCAUGAAACAAUUUGACUAGAAUUGGUUUGAUUUCUUGGAAGUUGAAACUCUGAAUAUAUCAGAAACUAUUUGUUGCACCAGAAUCCACAAUUCCACUUUUAUUUCCAGACAAAUUGGAAAUGGCAGAAUUGGUACAUGAAGAAUGAAUCAGUGUGUGCAGUUCAAGUGUACACCACAGUUGUGUUACAUGGUCUUGGUUUUGAUCAUCAUCUCCUUGUGAUGCCAAAGUUUGACCAUCAUCAAUUUCAUCCUAAUCCACUGCACAAUUGACAUUGCUCUUCUAUUGACAGGGGAAAGCAUGAUGAUGUAAUAACUGUCAAUUGUGUCAUGAACUUUAUUACAAAAGAAAAGGAACUAAUUUUGGAUUGUGAGUACUUCAAUCAAGAAUCUGCAUCCUGUUCUUUGAUCUGAAAGCCAUUGACAUUGCUUUGGACCAAGAAUGAUACUUUUCAGUUUCACCCUUAACCUUGUGCUUGGAUGCAUAAUUUGACAAUUUCUAAGACACUUAAAUAUAUUAAAUUUAAAUUCAACUCAUUUUAAAUUAUUUUAUUUUUCAAAUAUUUUGUUUGGUAAAACAAUUCAAAAUUUAAUGAAUUUUAUUUUUUUUAGAUAAAAUAUUUCGAUUAUCACCAAAUUUAAAAAAUUAUUUAAAUAUAAAAUAAUUGUUAAAAAUUAAGAAAUAUCAAUAUUGAUAAUAUUUUAUAGUAGAUAUUAAUUGAUUUUAUAUUUUUAAAAUAUUUUUUUUAUUUUAUAUUUGCAAAACUUUUUUCAAUUUAUGUUAAAAAUGAUUAUUUUGAAGUUAUGAAAUGCUAGAUUAGGUUAAAUUCAAGUAAGAUACCACCGAGUCGGACUCAUACAAGGUCAGACCAAGUUAUUCUGUGUCAGAGUCAAGUCAAGUCAACCCAAGUCCAAGUUGAGUUAAUUCAAUUUGGACUCAAGUUGAGUCGAGUAGGCUCGGGCCCAUCGAGUCGGCUUAGGCUAAAUUGAGCAAAGUCUUCAUAAGUCUAGGUCGAGUCAAGAUGGUCCGGGCAAGUCGAGUUUUCUUGAAAAAGUUGAGUUUUUCUGGACGACCCAAAUCGAGUCAAGUUGGCACAGACCCAGGUCGAUCUGAGUUAAGAAAAACUCACACUCACUCUAGUCAGGGGAGGUCAACAUUCAUAUGAGUAAAGGGAAACCUAUAUUCAACAAAGUUGGGUUAGGCCCAGGUGGAUUCUAGUCCAACCAAGACCAAGUCAAGCCUAAUCCGAUCAGGACCAAGUCAAGCUGAGUUGACCUAGAGUUGGCCUGUCAAGUUAGGCCAAGGCUGACCAAGCCAAGUUAGCUUUGUCGAAUCAAUCCAUGACCAAGUUAAUCCGAGUCGAGGUAUGAUCAUGUUGAGUAGAGUUAGACUAGAUCCAUGUCAAGUUAAGUUAAGCCCAGGUGGGACUAAGACAAAAUGGGUCAAGUUUGAACAAGUUGAGUUGAGUCUAUUUUGAGUGGAGACAUUAAGUUGAGGACAUAUCAAACUAAGUUGGAUCCCAAACCCAAGUCUAAUCGAAUCAACUCAGACCCCCCUGAAAUAUGAAUUUAAAAAUACGAAAUUUUCAAAUUUUCACUUUUUAAGUAAAAUUUGAAAUUAGUUUGAAAUAAUCUAAUUACUAAAAUGAAAUUCUAAAAAUUUAAUUUCUUUCAAAAAAAUUUACCUAAAUAACAGUCAUAAAUCAUUUCAAAUUCUUUAAAAUAAUAAAUUACCCUAUUAAAAUGUCACAUUCAAAUACAAUGUAAAAAUAGUUAUAUUGAUACAAUCAAUGGAGCAUAACAGAAACUGAAAAGUGUAACAAAUAUAUCUAACAAUUAAAUUUGAUGUCUUGCCAUUAAUAUCAUAUAUUUGUUACUUGAUGUUAAAUUCCGUCUUAACAAAGAAAUGGAUAAAUGAUUUAGUUGGAUCUAUUAAUGUAACAUGUCUGCAAUGAAUGAAAACUGAUAUAUUCACACUCUAAACAUUGAAAACACAUAUCUUACAUUUCAAUAAAUUAAUAUUUUAUUUAUGUUUGUUUUAUUUUUAAUUCAAAAUAUUAUUAUAUUGUUAUAAAUGUUUAUUAAAGAUAUGUUUCUUGUACUGUGUUAAAGAAACUUUUCUCCUAAUGAAUAUAGUACUAUCGAUCUAGAAGUUGAAUUAUUGGUCCAAAGCUUCUUUCAACGCCCACAAGAGCUGAUCAAUUUCGCUGGCCAUCUCUUCUAUUUCUUUUAUCAAUCUACGAGUCAAACUCUGAAGGCUUUCAUUCUGAAAGCUUUUUUCAAAACCAAAUAAACGUGAAAUUCAUUCUUUCAACCAUUUUUUUUUCUCUAAAUUAAAAUUAAAAAUGGAAAUUCUGUUACUGACGUUGCAGCUGAUGCAAUUUAUGAGUUUAUCUUAACUAUUGUUUUCUGUUUUCAUCAAAAGAUCUCAAAGGAUUCUUUUUGCCACUUUCUUCUAACAUAAGCUAUUUGGUUUCAAAGGUUGUCGUGUCUUUAUCUUGCAUCUUUCAGUUUAAUAUAAAUAUUACUAAAUGUCUUUCCUUCGCUACUCAUUUCACAGGUCAAGCUCCAAACUUUUGACUCUAUCUUUUUUAAACAUAUUCACUCCAAAUCUUUUUUAUUUUAUUUUAUUCUUUUUCUCAAUUAUUUUCCUCAAUUCUCAUUCACAUUCUUAUCCACACCUAUUAUUACAAACUCUUCUUCCACGCCAAUGAGUGAUUUAUAUCAUGGUAACUAGGAAUAUUAUUCGGCUAAAAUAACUUAUUAUAACAUACCAAUAGAGGUAGGAGGUAGGGUGUAUUUGAUGGUUUUGUAGCUGCAUUUUGCAGUGCUUAUAGCAUUUUAAUACGAGUACGGUGCUAGCUCGAAUAGGAUGUCUAGCUUAUGCAGCAAACAUAUUCUAUCUAUUGUUUCUGGGGUGUUUUUUCAUCUCUUUAGAGAUUCUUAAUGUGAUUUGGUUUAUGUAAAAGGGUUAAGAUACCCUUUUGUAUCCCUCUUAAUUUAAUUUCAUUUUUUACUGAUAAAAAAAAGCUAAAAUAACCGACACAAACAAUUAUAUUUAUUAGUCUAUAUUAAAUAUUUGGUUAUUAAUAAAAUUGGUUAGUUAUUAAAUUGAUUUUUAUAUAAAGAUAUAGUACAAGAAAAUGAUUAGAAAAUUUAUUAGUGUAUAUUAAAGCAGGAGGAGAUUUAAUGCGUAUUUAAUAACAGGAGGUUUUAAAGAAAGGGGUGAUUUAACAGGCAUUUAUUAGUGUGUAUUAAGAAAUUAAUAGAGAUUUUUGUGGUAAUAAAGAAAAUAAAAGAAAAUAAUAUUAAUAUUUAAACAUUUAAUUGAAAGGUUUGACUCAUGAAUAUGAUUCGCCGUUGUUUUUGACGUGAAGAGUAUAAAUAGAGAGAGAGAGAGACGGUGUUUCACAUACUCAUUUCAGAACAAAAACACUCAUUUUUGUUGUUUUCGUAUUCUUUCAUUCUUUUGCCUUCAACACCAAGCAACACAACUACUUGAAGAAGAAGAAGAAGAAGAAGAAGAGAGAAGAAAGGGUGUGGCGGGUAACCGCGAGAAACUGAGAGAAUGGAGGGAAGCGAUAUAUACAGAGCGAGUAACAGUAUGCGAGCGAGAAGUUCAACGGUUUGGAGAAACAACAGUGUGGAGGUUUUCUCAAGGUCUUCUCGCGAAGAGGAUGACGAAGAAGCUCUCAAAUGGGCUGCUCUUGAGAAGCUCCCCACCUACAACCGUCUCAGGAAAGGCUUGUUGACAGCAUCCCAUGGAGCUGCCAACGAAAUCGACGUUGCUGAUCUUGGCUACCAAGAGAGACACAAGCUCCUUGAGAGGUUGGUCAAGGUUGCUGAAGAGGACAAUGAGUCCUUCUUGUUGAAACUCAAGGACCGUAUUGACAGGUAUAUAUUCUUACCUCAACGACCUUCUUCCUCACAUAACUCGUUUAUUCUUACACUCUCUUUCUGCUUCUUACAGAGUUGGACUCGACAUUCCCACCAUUGAAGUUCGAUACGAGCACCUCAAGAUUGAAGCAGAGGCUUUUGUUGGAGGCAGAGCUUUGCCCUCUUUCAUCAACUCUGCUACUAAUGUCAUUGAGGUACCUACGGAAUAAUGCCUCCUUUCACUUCCUGUUCUUUUUCUCUUUUCUUCUACAAUUACUCUCUCGACCCAACUCAACACGCCUUUUCUUCUACAAUUAUUUGAUCUUGCAGGGAUUUCUUAACUUUCUCCAUAUCCUCCCCAGCAGAAAGAAACACGUUACUAUUCUCAAAGAUGUGAGCGGGGUUAUCAAACCUCGCAGGAUGACUCUGCUUUUGGGUCCUCCGAGUUCAGGAAAGACCACACUCCUCUUGGCCUUGUCAGGAAAACUUGAUAAAAGUCUUCAGGUCAGACACAAAUCUAUUAUUACUAUUUUUUCUUUGAAAACGAAAGUAGAAAGAAAGACUAACAUGAAUACCGAUGUGUUUGUUGUUCAGGUAUCUGGAAAAGUGACUUACAAUGGGCAUGAACUGAACGAGUUUGUACCCCAGAGAACCGCUGCUUACAUCAGCCAGCAUGAUGUUCACAUUGGAGAAAUGACUGUGAGGGAAACCUUGGCUUUCUCAGCAAGGUGCCAAGGGGUUGGAUCACGUUAUGGUCAGUUCCCCUUCACCACCCCUCUCUUACCUUUUCAAACUCUAAUUUAACAUCUAUUCACUCUAACCCAUCAUCAUUUACUUUUUCUGAAUCCACAGACAUGCUGUCUGAAUUGUCUAGAAGGGAGAAAGCGGCAAAUAUCAAGCCUGACCCAGAUCUUGAUGUCUACAUGAAGGUCAGCAAAUAACAAAACCAAAACAAGAAAGUAUAUAUAUACCAUCUUUGCACUGCAUCUGAUUGUCUUUUGAUAUAACAGGCAACUGCAACUGCAGGCCAGGAGUCAAGCAUAGUGACAGAUUAUACAAUGAAGGUAAUGAAUGCUUAAACAAACAAGGUUCAAUUCAAUUAUGUGAUGACAUGUGCUAGUGUUUGCUACGAUGACCAACAAAGAUACUGAACUGGUCGACUGUGUAACUUGGCAGAUUCUGGGGUUGGAUAUAUGUGCUGAUACCAUGGUGGGGGAUGAAAUGUUGCGUGGGAUUUCUGGAGGACAGAGGAAGCGUGUUACUACAGGAGAGAUGUUGGUUGGACCAGCAAAUGCUUUAUUCAUGGAUGAAAUCUCCACCGGGUUGGACAGUUCCACCACAUUUCAGAUUGUGAGUUGUCUGAGGCAAUAUGUCCACAUUCUGAAUGGAACUGCUGUGAUAUCUUUGCUCCAGCCAGCACCUGAGACUUACGACCUUUUUGACGACAUUAUCUUAAUCUCCGACGGCCAAGUGGUUUACCAUGGCCCUCGUGAGUAUGUUCUGGACUUCUUUGAAUCCAUGGGUUUCAGAUGUCCCGAGAGGAAAGGUGCUGCUGACUUCCUUCAAGAAGUGACUUCCAAAAAAGAUCAAGCACAGUACUGGGUGCGCAGAGAUCAACCAUACAGAUUUGUGACAGUUACUCAAUUUGCUGAGGCAUUUCAAUCAUUCCAUAUUGGUAGGAAACUUGGUCAGGAGCUUGCAGUUUCAUUUGACAAGACCAAGAGCCACCCUGCUGCAUUGACCACUAAGAAGUUUGGUAUCAACAAGAAGGAGCUGUUAAAGGCUAACUUCUCAAGGGAGUAUUUGCUCAUGAAAAGGAAUUCAUUUGUGUACAUCUUCAAGCUAUGUCAGGUUGGUGAUUGUUUUAUAUCAAGAAAAACUCUACACCCUAGUUCAUUUGCAUGUCUAUGAAUCUAUGAUCAUCAUUUUUAAUUGCUUUUGAUGAUGCUUUUCAGCUUUUCAUCAUGGCGUUGAUUGCAUUGACGCUGUUCUUCCGAACGGAGAUGGACCAUGACAGUCUUGAUGGUGCUGGUGUUUAUGCUGGUGCCAUAUUUUUUACAAUAAUAACGGUUAUGUUUAAUGGAAUGGCUGAGAUUUCCAUGACCAUUGCCAAGCUUCCUGUUUUCUACAAGCAGCGAGAUCUUCUGUUCUUUCCCUCUUGGGCUUAUGCUAUUCCUUCGUGGAUUCUCAAGAUUCCGGUUACUAUAGCAGAAGUGGCUCUUUGGGUAUUCCUGACCUACUAUGUUAUUGGAUAUGAUCCCAAUGUGGGGAGGUAAAGAAACUAACUGGUUUGAGUUGUUUGAAGCUUGUGAAUGUUGCCUCUUCUACUAAUUUGCAUUGUACUUAUGAUCUGAGUUCUUUAAUUUGGGUGGUGCAGGCUCUUCAAGCAGUACCUCAUCCUACUACUUAUCAGUCAGAUGGCUUCUUCAUUAUUCCGAGCCAUUGCAGCACUCGGUAGAAACAUGAUUGUCGCCAACACGUUUGGAUCCUUUUCGGUUCUCACUCUUCUUACAUUGGGCGGUUUCAUUCUGUCAAAAAGUAAGUCUAAUUAACACAAACAUGCUAUUGAAAAAUUGUCGCAUUUCUAAUUAUGAUAAAACAUAAGCUAAUGCUUGGUCGUUCUGUUUCCAAUGAAACAGGGGAUAUCAAAAAAUGGUGGAUUUGGGGUUUCUGGAUUUCACCUCUGAUGUAUGGGCAGAAUGCUCUGAUGACAAAUGAAUUUCUUGGAAACAGCUGGCACAACGUAAUUUCUUGAUUAAUGAAAUUGUAUGCUAGUGCUUCUUUGGUCAAGGAAAGUUUGAUUCUAAUUUCUUUUCUAUCUAAUUACAGGAUACCCACAAUUUAGGACUUGAUUAUCUGGAUUCUCGCGCGUUCUUCAAAGAUGCAUAUUGGUAUUGGCUUGGUCUUGGGGCAUUGGUUGGGUUUGUGCUCUUUUUCAACGUGGUGUUUGGUUUUGCUCUAGAUUUCCUUGGCCGUGAGUACUUUUCACAUCAUUUGUACUUUAAAAUUCUGUCAUAAAUGCAAUUCAAGGUCUUACUGAUAAGUAUGCCUCCGAAUGUGAAUGCAGCAUUUGAUAAGCCACAAGCAGUGAUAGCUGAAGAACCAACUCAUGAAGGAAGCCCCGCAGAAGUUGAAUUACCACGCAUAGGUGAGUUAUGCUCACUCAUAUUCAAUACUAAACCACAGGCAUAUACUCCUUUAUCAUCACCAAUUCGUAUUAUAUUCCAAGACGUUGAACAUAUUUUUCAAAUGUCCUGCAGAAACGGGAAAAGAUGGUUCUGUUGUGGAAUCCAGCCAUGGAAAGAAAAAAGGAAUGGUUCUUCCUUUUGAACCACAUUCCAUCACCUUUGAUGAAGUCGUAUACUCAGUUGACAUGCCACAGGUAAAUCACAUUCCAUGUUAUUGGGUUUGUAGCAGUGAGUGAGUGACUUCAUUUUAACACUUCUUCAGCCAGAAAAAAAAAAAAUUGAUUUCUAACUCCCUUGAUUUUCACUUGCAGGAAAUGAAGGAACAAGGUGUACAAGAGGACAAACUGGUGCUUCUGAAGGGUGUUAGUGGUGCAUUCAGGCCUGGUGUUCUCACAGCCUUGAUGGGUGUGAGUGGUGCUGGUAAGACCACGUUGAUGGAUGUUCUGGCUGGUAGGAAAACCGGUGGAUAUAUCGAAGGAAACAUCAAAAUUUCUGGGUACCCUAAGAAGCAAGAAACAUUUGCUCGUAUCUCUGGAUACUGUGAGCAAAAUGAUAUCCAUUCACCUCAUGUUACAGUUUACGAGUCCUUGCUCUACUCAGCAUGGCUACGUUUACCUUCAAGUGUUGAUUCCAAAACCAGAAAGGUUAGUUAGUAAGAACUGAGAAAAGUAAAAACGCUUUAACUUUAAGUUCUUAGAGGCUGAUUGUUUGAACUCUUUGGAUUUGACAAAUGGUUGCAUGCAUGCAGAUGUUCAUUGAGGAAGUCAUGGAAUUGGUGGAGCUUAACCCAUUGAGGAACUCGCUGGUUGGAUUGCCCGGUGUGAGUGGACUCUCUACUGAACAGCGGAAGAGGCUGACUAUUGCGGUUGAAUUGGUGGCUAAUCCUUCCAUAAUUUUCAUGGAUGAGCCUACUUCUGGGCUAGAUGCAAGAGCUGCUGCUAUUGUUAUGAGAACAGUCAGAAACACUGUGGACACUGGAAGAACUGUGGUGUGCACCAUCCAUCAACCCAGCAUUGACAUAUUUGAAGCAUUUGAUGAGGUGAGUGCCAAAAAUGACAAAUGAAAACGUCUCUUACUUGGUUUCUCUCCCUCCUAGGCUUGAAUCUAACAUGAUGUCUUUUUGUGUGAUUCCAGCUAUUCCUAAUGAAGCGUGGAGGACAGGAAAUAUAUGUCGGCCCACUGGGUCGUCAUUCUAGUCAUCUGAUCAAGUAUUUUGAGGUAACAUCAUAGUUUAAUUAUGAAGUGAAGGACCAUGAUUCUUCAGAGUAAAUACUAAAUUUUUGCAAUGAUUUUUCCACUGUCCAGAGCAUUGACGGGGUGAGCAAAAUCAAAGACGGAUAUAACCCGGCUACUUGGAUGUUGGAAGUUACAACCACAGCUCAAGAGCUUGGUUUGGGCGUUGAUUUCACUGACUUAUACAGGAACUCUGAUCUAUAUAGGUAGGGAAACGCAAGUGGAUAUGAAUUUACUAAGUUUUCUUGAUUCUCAUAAUGCUUAUUUGAGUUUUUUCAUGACUUUUCAGGAGAAACAAGCAGCUUAUACAAGAAUUGGGUCAGCCUGCUCCUGGUUCAAAGGAUCUUUAUUUCCCUACUCAAUUCUCUCAGAACUUCUUUGUCCAAUGCCAAGCUUGCUUAUGGAAACAACGUUGGUCAUAUUGGCGUAAUCCACCAUACACUGCUGUGAGGUUUUUCUUCACAACUUUCAUAGCCAUAAUGUUUGGAACCAUGUUCUGGGACCUCGGAGGCAAACGGUAAGUCAAAUAAAUUCUUACUAUUUCUCACCACCAAAAGUAAUAUAUGGUGUGACACCUUCCAAAUUCCUCUAGAGUUCUGAUUCAUGUGGUGCUUUUACAGCUCAACAAGAGGAGACCUGAUGAAUGCUCUCGGUUCAAUGUACACUGCUGUUCUCUUCCUUGGAGUACAAAAUUCUUCUUCCGUACAGCCAGUGGUGGCAGUUGAAAGGACUGUCUUCUACAGAGAAAAAGCUGCCGGAAUGUAUUCUGCCUUACCCUAUGCAUUUUCACAGGUAACUCACAUGUCAUAACAUAACAUCAUCGUUACUUAUUUAUUGUUUUACCUACAUUACUUACUAGUACUUUAGUUUGCAUAUGUGUGUGUACAUUAACUAUGUUAAGUGACCAAGAAACUAACAAACUGGUACUUUUUUUUGUCUCAGAUUCUGGUGGAGCUACCCUAUAUCUUUACUCAAGCGGUGACAUACGGUGUAAUAGUUUAUGCCAUGAUCGGAUUUGAGUGGACUGCAGAGAAAUUCUUUUGGUAUCUGUUUUUCAUGUACUUCACACUGCUGUACUUCACCUUCUACGGCAUGAUGGGUGUGGCAGUGACACCAAACCACCAUGUUGCUUCCAUUGUGUCGGCUGCAUUCUAUGCAAUUUGGAAUCUCUUCUCAGGAUUUGUUGUUGCAAGACCUGUGAGUUGCUUGUUGCCACCCUGCUUUUGAAUUAAUAAUACACUGAGAAAUGCAUGAAUAUAGAGUGAAUAUAUGUGGUAUGGUUUCAAAUGGUAUGAUUAUAAUAAUAAUGUUGUUGUUUUGUAUUUUGAACAGAGCAUCCCAAUAUGGUGGAGAUGGUACUAUUGGGCAUGCCCAGUGGCUUGGACCUUAUAUGGAUUGGUUGGAUCUCAGUUUGGAGAUGUAAUGGAGCUAAUGGAGGCUGAAGGUAACAAGACUGUGAAAGCUUUCAUAGAAGACAGUUAUGGUAUCAAACAUGACUUCAUUGGAGUUGCUGCUGUUGUGGUUGCUGGCAUUGCAGUUCUCUUUGGAUUUACUUUUGCUGUUGCAAUCAAGACCUUCAACUUCCAAAAGAGAUAGACAAAUAGAGAGUAGAUUUUUCCAACUUCAAAUAUUCUUUAUAUUUUCCCUCUUUUUUUCCCCUUGUUUUUAAUUUCUCCCUAAACUUGUAAUGUUUUGUUUGUAUCUAUAGUUUGUGUGCAACACCUGCCAAUUGAAGGCUUGUACUUAAAAAAAUGUAUGUAUGAUGAGUUUUUAGAUUUCUAUCUCCAACUUGUACCUUAAAUUUAGUUUGAUUCAUCAACUGCAUCAUACAUCAUCCACCAUCACACCAACAAGUUAGUAGUCCAAAUGGUGUUGAACUUUGUAUACUAAAAUAAGAUUUUUGGUUCAAGUCCUUGGGGGAUAAAACAUCUCCUAUACUCAUAUAGUCACUAAGGUUUUUUUAACCAAUAUCAAUAACAUGCUAAAAGAACAAUAAUUUUUUCAUUUAUUCAAUAUAUGAAAUAAAUAAAAUGAUAUAACGUAAAAUUAUUAAAUAAGUAAUUAGAUUAAUAUAAUUAAUAAUAUGAGAGCAAAAUAAUUUAACUUCAAAAUUAUAUGUAAUUCGUAAUCAUUGUCUAAUUUUAAUUUUUUCAAGAUAGAACAGUAUUGUAUUGGUUGUACAAUUUGAACUUAAAGAAUCAUAUGAUUAAAAAGUAUAUGGAGUGCUUGUCUACUCUUGACUUUGAAGUACAGCAUGCUACAUGAGUUAGAGUCUCAUCCAAGGAUUUAUUUCUCAUCAUACAAAAAGAUAUGAUAAUUUAUUUUUUUUCUUAUGCUUAUGUUUAAAUUUUCUCUUAUCAUAUUAUAAAAGACAAGUGGAAGUGAGAACUCAUCAUAGAAAAAUAUAUGAUGAAAGAAAAUUGCUUAUAUUUAAAUUCUCUCUUAUCAUAUUAUAAAAGACAAGUGGAAUUGAGAACAAUUAUCAUAUUCUAGAUUGUAUAACACAAAUGAAACAAAUAUAUAUUGUUAAGACCUAGUUUUGAUGAUAACAAACACUAUAAAAUGUGUUAAAGUUAUAACAAAGUUCUUAAUGUGUAGGUAUUAGAGUACAACUGUUAGACGGUCUCACAUUGAUUAACCUUUGAGAUGGUCUCAAUGUGCAAAACAUGUUAGACAUACUCAUUACGUUAAACAUGUUAGAUUAUCUCUUUAUGUUGGACUUGUUAGAUGGUCUUGAUGGAACUCAAACUGUUAGACGAUCUCAUAAAAAAAAUGUGUUAGACGAUCUCAAAGGACAACCUGCUAGAUAGUCUAGUCUUUGUCUUUGCAUUAAAUCUAGUCUUCAUCUUUGCAUUAGACGAUCUAGUCUUUGUUUUUGCGAUAGACGGUCUAACACACAAGAGAGUUUCUAAAAUCAAUCUUUGCGUUUUGAUUUAUAGUUGAUGAUUAUUUCACGACAAGUAUAUUGUGUUAGAAAUAAUAAAUUUGUCCCUAAGGACAAAUAUCGAACCUACAAGGAACAAUUUUAGUAAACAAAAAACAAUAAGUAAAAUUUUGUUGGAAGUUUGUUGUGUAUGAGAUUGCAAGAAUGUAAAUAAAGGAAAUAAAGAGUUGUUUGAUUCAAUUUGGAAAAUUGGGAUUGAGGUUCAUCCUUAUCACUCUUUUGUAUAUUGAAAAACAUGUAAUAUUCAAUCUUUGAUUGAUAUUGAUUCCCAUAUAAAAUUCAUUUAUAUUAAUUCCUCCCGCAUAUAAAAUUAUUAAGAUAGUCUCGUAAAUAUUAAUUUCUUGCAUAUAUAUAAGAAAUCCUUAUCGUUACGAACAAAUGUUGAUAGUAAUUAACAUUUCAAAUCUAUUCCUAACAUUCAAACAUGUUAAGCAUUAUCAUUUAUGUCAGAUACUUAUAAGUACUUUUCAAUCAAAUUUAAGGAUAAAAAUCAUGAUAAAACAAGCAUUAAGAAUAAAAUGACAAUACCUAUCAUCCAUCAAGAACAAAAUAUUGUGAUUAAAUAUCACCUCAAUACAUAAGAGUUUAAACUCAUGUUGGCCAUUACAAGCAUGAAAAGCAAGAAAAGAAGAUUCAUGAUGUUUCUCCUUGACAAUUGCCUUUAGGGUUUUAUAUCUCCUUUUAUUCUCUCAAUGAUGUCUAGGGUUAUGUCACAUGCCUCAUAUUUAACCUAGUUGGACUUGGGUUAUGUAACUUCCCGCCUUUGCGAGUUAUAAAUUGCUUGGACGAGUUUGACGAGAAAAAACUCAACUUCUCUAGUAAACCUGUAUGGACGAGUUCCUCUGUAUUGAGUUGGUUUGGGCGAGUUUUGAACAUUCCAACUUUCUCUUUCCAUCUUGUUUAUUCUCUUUUAGCCUUUUUUAUCUCCAUUUUCUUCUAAAAUAUUGAAAUUAACACAAAUUUGAGAAUAAAUCAUUCUUAUUCAUAUUAUAAUCACAAAAUAUUUGUCAUGUCUCAUUUCAUUUUCAUUUUUUUAUGUUUUGUCAAUUUCAUAUUUAUUAAUUUCAAUUAUCCUUCUUGCAUCUAAUUUUUAUUUCUUCUAACUAUUUCAAAUUCUUAAUAAUUGCAGGACUUACAUUGUGUUUUAUAAUGCCAGAUUUGAUAUAAUACCAAACACUUGUAAUUUUUCUUAUUUUUUUUAAAUUGAAAUUUUUAUAAAAGUAUCGUGCGUUAGCACGGGUCAUGUACUACUUUGUUAUACAUUUACGUUCCUAGAUAUUUAGUACAAAACCAAACUAAAAGUUGAUCCAUUUAACUAUAUAUAUUAGUUUACAAAAGUGAAAAUUAAUACAACUAUCUCUACAAAAAGCUAACUAAACAACUCAUAAGUUGCAUGAAACUCAAAAAGUUAUUUUGUAUUUUAUAACUUACCUUUGAACAUGUUCAUCUGAAAUAUAUAAAAUUAUGUGAGAUUAACUCAAUGAGUGGUGACAUAACAUACAGUAAAUAAAUUGAUCAUUAAACAUUUCACAAGUUGGUAUUUCAAAAGCAAUAAAAGAAAAUAUAUAGGAGUAAUUGAAUUUAACUCAAGAAAUAGUAAAGUGUGUUUGUCUCUAAAAAAUCUCUUUAACUUUUUUUUUUCGUGCUAUUGACAUAAUGUUGAGCUAAAAUAUUAUGAGAUGUGUCCCUUUCUUCUGUGCCAUGAAUUCUUGAUAUUUAUACCCCUAGGGAAUUCAAACCUAGGGGUUAUCAUAUCCUCUCAAAGUUAUUCAUAGAUGGAUAUUUGAAUGCUAUUUGAGUGAUAUGUUUUCUAUAAGCAUACUUACAAUUUCUUUUCUAACUUGUGAAAUAUGAAUUAUACAAAAAAAAAAUUAUCAUACUAGAAGCUAUGUUUUAACUUCAAAGUAAAGAUAAAUUUCAGAAAUUCUCAUAAAGCAUUUCAUAAGACAUAAUACUAUGCUCAAAUAUUUUCAUAUGAAAGAAUAAUAGUGAUUCUAGGAAUAUUUCACAAGAAAGGUUUAAACAAUUAUACAUCUCUUUAAAAAAUGAUUCGAAGUCACAUUUCUCACCAUAGAAAGAGAAAAAGAUGGAACCUGGAGAACCACUUACCUUGGGAGAAAAUUAAUUGGUAUAAAGAAGUGAUGGACAAGCAUGGAAAAAUGGAAUAAAGAAGAAUCUCUUAAUUCCUUGUGCUUUAAGUGGCAAGGGAAAAUUUUCAAUAAUAGUAAAGCAAAAGGGAUUAUGAUCGUUAAGCGAGAAAAUAUAAAUGAUGAUUUAAAUCAAUAAAGAAUUCAGAUUGACUCUCAAGUUCUUCCAGAAUUCCUCACAAGUUAUCUAAAGAUUAUUUAUUUAUCAAUCCUCUAACAGAGCUAAAUCAAAUUGAACAUGCGCCAAUCUGCUUCAACUGAAACUCAUUAGUAAAUCAUGCGUCUACUGGUUUAAUCAAUACCCAUUUUGUUUCAUGCGUAUACUCCAUAAGAAUGCUUAUCUCCUCUCUCUUGAAUCAUGUGCCCAAUAAAUUAACUAGAACAAUACGAACUAACUAAGAAAUCAAAGUUUAAGAUAAUGAAGACUCUUAAUCAUGCGUUCAAGUACAACCUCUCACAAAAACUAGUUUUGUAGGAGAUUAGACAAUAAAAACACCUGCUAUAAAGAAUUUAAAAAUGAAACUUUUAUUGAUUAAAACCUUAAAACUCAAUAGGGAAUCACAAAGAAAUCAACCAAAAGGUUUAGCUUUCCAUGCGGAGGCAAAAGAAUUACAAAGAAGAAAAGAAACUAAGAAAAUCCUAUGAAGCUCUCUCUUUCUCUUUGAGACUUGUGUCUUUUUAUAGGCUUUUCUACUCCAAGGAUCUUGGAAAAAUAUUGUAGUUUAGAUUUUGUUAAAAAGUUUCCAACUCUCCAGAUUUCUUGUAUUUUGUAGACGCUUCCUUACCAUUUACUCUAAAAACACAAAAAUAAUAGUUAAAACCCAAAUAAACUCAAUUAUAUGAAUAUUAAUUAAAAUAAUAGAUUUAUUUAUUAUUAUAGUCAAAUAAUUCAUGAUUAAAAUUAUUGAGUGUGAAUAAAUAUAUGUUCAUCACAUCUACAUUUUGACACAUUGAUACCGUCAGGCCCAAUAAUACAAUCAGACUCACUCAUAUAGUCAAACUCGUUAAUACAACUAGACUCACUCAUAUGAGUACAUAUUCAAUAUUAGAUUCACAUGCAUUAAUUAAAAUUAUUUUUGUAGUGACUAAUAAAUGAACUUAUCAAAUCUGAUAAGAGAGAGAAUUAAACAUAUGGAGAUUAAUUAUCAUUUUGUUAGAUAGAGAAAAAGUUUGCCAACUCUAGUGAACAACUCAUAAACAUUCUAACUAAAUCUCUAGAAGCACCUAAUGCUCAGUUUUUAUGUUCUAAGAUUAGUGCAUAUGAUUUAUAAGUUUCAACUUGAUAGGAAGUGUUGAAAUAUAAUGUUAUUCUAUUUUUAUUUAUUUUGUUUGUGCAAUUAAAUUCAAGAGAAUCAAUUAAGUUCAACACCAACUUGUUGGUGUGAUGGUGGAUGAUGUAUGAUGCAGUUGAUGAAUCAAACUAAAUUUAAGGUACAAGUUGGAGAUAGAAAUCUAAAAACUCAUCAUACAUACAUUUUUUUAAGUACAAGCCUUCAAUUGGCAGGUGUUGCACACAAACUAUAGAUACAAACAAAACAUUACAAGUUUAGGGAGAAAUUAAAAACAAGGGGAAAAAAAGAGGGAAAAUAUAAAGAAUAUUUGAAGUUGGAAAAAUCUACUCUCUAUUUGUCUAUCUCUUUUGGAAGUUGAAGGUCUUGAUUGCAACAGCAAAAGUAAAUCCAAAGAGAACUGCAAUGCCAGCAACCACAACAGCAGCAACUCCAAUGAAGUCAUGUUUGAUACCAUAACUGUCUUCUAUGAAAGCUUUCACAGUCUUGUUACCUUCAGCCUCCAUUAGCUCCAUUACAUCUCCAAACUGAGAUCCAACCAAUCCAUAUNNNNN
rnacentral:lncRNA from 1 species